UGUCAAAAAAAAGGAUAUAUCCCUCUGGGGCCGAAAAGAGAACAAAGAAAAGGACCGAGGAUGAGAAAAAAGAGCAAGAUAAAGGAACACUGUUGAAGUACUUUGGAGCACAACCAACUCCACCCGCCCCUGAUGUUUCAUCAAGUGUCAGUGUCUCCACAGCUGAUGAUGCAGCAGAUGAGGUUUUUCUUGUUGGCCAAUGUUAACAUUCCAUAGCCUGUUAAUAUGACAUGACACAUUGAAGAAUAAAGUAUUUUAUUUAA